GUUGUAAAUGCCCUGGCUAAACCUAUUGAUAAUAGAGGUGAAUUUCAGCUUCUGAAUUUUGAUUAAUUGAAUCUGCCACCCCGGGUAUUAUUUUGCACCGUUCUGUACAUGAGCCUCUUCAAACUGGGCUUAUUGCUAUUGAUUCGAUGAUCUCUAUAGGAUGUGGUCAGCGAAAAUUAAUUAUUGGGGACAGACAGACUGGUAAAAUAGUAGUAGCCAAAGACACCAUUCUCAAUCAACAAGGUCAAAAUGUAAUAUGUGUUUAUGUAGAUAUUGGGCAAAAAACGUCUUCUAUGGCCCAGGUAGUAACGACUUUACAAGAAAGGGGAGCGAUGGAAUACACUAUUGUGGUAGCCAGAAUAGCGGAUUCCCCUACUACAUUACAAUACCUUGCUCCUUAUACAGGAGCAACUCUGGCUGAAUAUUUUAUGUAUCGUGAACGACACACUUUAAUCAUUUUUGAUGAUCUGUCCAAACAAGUGCAAGCUUAUCGCCAAAUAUCUCUUCUAUUACGAAGACCGCCCGGUCGUGAAGCUUAUCCAGGAUAUUUUUUUAUUUACAUUCACGCAUUUUGGAAAGAGCCACUAAAUUAUGUUCUAGUUUAGGUGAAGUAUGACCGCAUUACCAAUAGUUGAAACUCUAUCGGGAGAUGUUUCGGCUUAUAUUCCUACUAAUGUAAUUUCCAUUACUGAUGGACAAAUCUUCUUAUCCGCCGACCUAUUCAAUUCUGGAAUCAGACCUGUUAUUAAUGUGGGUAUCUUCAUUUUCAGAGUGGGGUCCGUAGCUCAAAUAAAAGCCAUGAAACAAGUAGCUGGUAAAUUAAAAUUAGAACUAGCGCAAUUUGCAGAAUUAGAAGCCUUUGCACAAUUUGCUUCUGAUCUCGAUAAAGCUACUCAGAAUCAAUUGGCAAGAGGUCAACGAUUACGUGAAUUGCUUAAACAAUCCCAAUCGGCUCCUCUCACGGUAGCAGAGCAGAUAAUGACUAUUUAUACCGGAACAAACGGCUAUCUUGAUUCAUUAGAAGUUGGACAGGUAAGGAAAUUUCUUGUUGAGCUACGUACUUACUUAAAAACUAAUAAACCUCAGUUCCAAGAAAUCAUAUCUUCUACCAAGAAAUUUACCGAGGAAGCAGAAGCCCUUUUGAAAGAAGCUAUUCAGGAACAAAUGGACCAUUUUAUACUUUAGGAACAAGCAUAAAGAAAUAUUGAUCACCCUUGUCUUAAUCUUAAUAAAAUAAGAAAUUAAGCAUCUUGGAUUCAAAUAUUCAAAUAGUCUUUCUUACUAUCGAAAUCUAAGAAAAUAUAUAUAUGGAAAUAAAUUGUGUCCAAUAGGAUUUGAAACUAUACCAAAGGUUUAGAAGACCUCUGUCCUAUCCAUUAGACAAUGGACGCUUUUCAUUCUGAUUUUUUUUUUGUAUUUUAACUUUUUGUUUUAAAAAAAACUGAAAGUAUAUGAUGUGAAAUAAUUUUUUGAAUUGUAUAUUCAAUGAUGUACUAAUACUAAUAAACUAAAUUUGAUUUAAUGAAUAGAUUAAAAUAUUUAGAAUAAAUAGAUAUAGAGCGGGUAGCGGGAAUCAAACCCGCAUCGUUAGCUUGGAAGGAUAGGGGUUAUAGUCGACAUCGAUUCAUUUGUUUAACGUCUCUUAUUCAAAAUCGAAUAUGAAACUUUGGUUUCAUUCGGCUCCCUUAUGGAGAUGAGUCAAUGUAUAAGAUCUAAGAUGUAAACAAAAAUCAAAAAAAAAAAAGAAUUCUACCCAUAACAUUUAUGUCAGCUUUUGGUCUGAAUACAGAUAAAAUGAAUUGCUUUGUAGAUGAUCCUUCUAGAAGAGGGAGAUUCUAACAACCUUUCUAGUUAUUUCGUUCUAUAUUUCUAUUUAAUAGGAUACUGAGGAAAAGGAGUUUGUUUCCACCGAGCUAAAACAAUAUAAUGAUGUCUCUAGUAAACCAAAGUCAUCAUUUAAUAGCUAUUUUGCUUCACUUUCUUCUUUACAAAUAAGAAAUUGAAGAUUUAGUAUCGAUUAGAAAUCAACUUUCUAUCUUUAUCCAUGGAUCCUUUAUUGAUACUUAUUCAAUUGGAAGUAUUGAUCCAAUUCAAAAAUUAUGUUUCGCAAUUUCAUAAUCCAAUUUUUCAAUGUCUAAGUGACCUUUGGAUACCAAUCACGAGAAUGUGUAUUUGUUCUCGAAUCUGUCAUUGAGAGGAAAAGGAUUUAAUCCUUUUAAGAAAAUAAAGUUUUUGAUUGGAAUAUGAAUCAAACCGAAGGACCCUUUAAGGGAUAAUAGAAUGAAUCACACUUUUACCACUAAACUAUACCCGCUACAAUCGGAUUAUUGUAUACAAAUGCAACUUUGGUCAAACAGGAAAAUUGUGGUAAUUAAGAUAGGAUAAGAUAGGGUCAUCAAAACUGCUAAAAUCAUAAAACCCACUAAAAUCAUAACAUAAAAAUGCCUCUAAAGUUUCUUUUUUUUUUUAGUCCAGCAAGGCGAUAAACAUUAAAUCAAAAAGCAGAAAGAGAAAUGAGACUUUUAUUUUGAUCAAAUUUUCUAUUGCAUAUAUUUUAUUUUACCUUUAUAAAAAAUGAGAAUUUUUUCUUGUUGCUUGAAUAUUAGCUAUUCAAUUAAAAUGAAAUAUUACAACUAUAACAGGCAUUUUUAUUUGCAAAUUCAAAUUCGUUGGAACAAAAGAGGCCCAGUUGGGUACUGACCAGACCAGACCAUGAGAAAAAGAGGGUCCUUUCAAACAAAAUCAAGACAAAAAAAAGAGUUCUUCUUUAUUUUUCUUGAUAUUCUUGGCUCUUCUAAGCCCUUCCUUUACUUUAUAUAAUCCUUUACUUUUGAUAAAGAGAUAAAGAAAAUUGAUGAUAAAAGUUGUACAUAUCUAUAUAAUAUAGAAAGAAAAAAACAGAGAAAGAAAGAUUCUUUCCCUUAUCUUAUGUGCUAUCUCAUGUAGUAAUUAUCUUUUUCAAUUAAGAGAGAUGGCUGAGUGGACUAAAGCGGCGGAUUGCUAAUCCGUUGUACGAGUUAAUCGUACCAAGGGUUCGAAUCCCUCUCUUUCCGUUGAUGACUUGAUUUUUUUUUUUCAAAUUUUGAAAUCCUUUGAUCUUAUUCCUAGAUUUUUAUUUUAUUCUUCACGUCUAGGAUUACGUUCGGGAUCAUUAGAUAGGAAUCCAAAGAUGAAGAGAGAAACAAAAAAUAUCACUACUGUGUAAACGAAGAGUUUUAGAGUAAGCAUUACACAAUCUCCAAGAUGAUUUUUUUUUGAAAAAAAAAAAGAGAAUAGAUCAUCCAUUUUUCUACCGCAUAUCCUAGUUUGACACCAAGCAACGAAGCUCUUUCUCUAAAAGAAUUUUUCUAAAUUCUUUUCUAAUAAGAGUUUGUCAUUAACCAAAUUUUUAUAUACACAAGAGGAGCCUAAUAAGGUCUUUCACUCGAAAGGAAAGUGCAAAAAAAGAAGGAAAUAAGUUAAGCCGGAUUUCUCGUGACUAUCCAAGAAUUUCAAUGUUUGAAUCGAGAUUUCAAAUGGUAAAGCUUAUCUGAUUUGAUUUAUUGUAGAAUUUUUUCUCGAAUAAAUCAUGAAUUUUCUAGGAUAUUAUUAAGGAUAUCAUUGAAAACUUACACCAACUUUCCAAACAAAGGCUAAGAGAAAAAAGAACAGAGGUAUGACUGGCUUAAUAUCUACGAUUGGAUUCAAAAAAGCAUAGGCCUCGG
rnacentral:lncRNA from 1 species